GCACUCUUAGCUCAGCCUGUAGAGCAUUUCAAAAAUUUAUUGGUUCGAAUCCAAUAUUGGGCA
rnacentral:tRNA from 1 species